UACGUAGGGUGCAAGCGUUGUCCGGAAUUAUUGGGCGUAAAGAGCUCGUAGGCGGUUUGUUGCGUCGGCUGUGAAAUCCCGAGGCUCAACCUCGGGUCUGCAGUCGAUACGAGCAAACUAGAGUGUUGCAGGGGAGACUGGAAUUCCUGGUGUAGCGGUGAAAUGCGCAGAUAUCAGGAGGAACACCGAUGGCGAAGGCGACUUACUGGACACAUAUUGACGCUGAGGUGCGAAAGCGUGGGGAGCAAACAGG
rnacentral:rRNA from 1 species